CCAGAAUUAAAUCUAUGCUCAUGAUUGUCAGUCAGAAGCUCCACCAACUAAAUGGACAUUGAGGCCACAGCUUCCCUCUGAGUAAUGAGAAACAGGGAAAGCCAAGAGCAGCACGCUGGGCCUCAUGAUAAGCAAAUGAUUGAAAUGGAAGAUUCUGAGACAGUGGAAGUAAAAGAAGAAGCCAUCCCUUGCCUGAGGCCGAAAGACAUAUCUUAACCUGCUGAGACCAUUCUUCAUAAUAACAUGCACAUCCCAACAUCCACUGGCAUGCUGGAUCACACACAACGCUGAAAAAAGGAAGAGGAGGGGAAGGAUCCAUGUGGGCACUCUGACGUGUCACGCAAAGACAAUGGGAACGGUGGUGCUGUGAGGGUCAUGAUUCAGAGUGUGGGAAGGACCAGCACUGCAAGAAAAGAUGGAGCGCAUGACUUGUUGAAUGUUUCUAAAUACUGCUACACAAUACAAACAGUGAAAACCACAGAUACUGCUGGUCACACUGUCACCACACCAUGAAGGAUAAUAGUAUUCAAAGAAUAUUUUAAUAAGUAUAUGUAAUAAUAUAAAAUUUUAUAUGGUCCAGAAU